rnacentral:rRNA from 1 species
UAGUCAUAUGCUUGUCUCAAAGAUUAAGCCAUGCAUGUGUAAGUAUAAACAACUUGUACUUGUGAAACUGCGAAUGGCUCAUUAAAUCAGUUAUCAUUUAAGUGAUGUUACCUUUUUUACUACUUGGAUAACCGUAGUAACAUAGAGCUAAUACAUGCAAAUACUCCUGACAGUAAUGAAGGGAGGCACUUAUUAGAUUAUAAACCAAUCUGUGUAAAAAGCAGUAAAUGGUGAUUCAUAGUAAGGUUGGAAAUCGUUUAUUCGUUAAACGAUAUAU